GAUCAUGGCUCGGAUGAACGCUAGCGGCAGCUUAAUACAUGCAAGUCGAGGGGCAGCAUGAAGUAGCAAUACUUUGAUGGCGACCGGCAAACGGGUGCGGAACACGUACACAACCUUCCUUUUAGUGGGGAAUAGCCCAGAGAAAUUUGGAUUAAUGCCCCGUAACAUAACGAUGUGGCAUCACAUUGUUAUUAUAGCUUCGGCGCUAGAUGAUGGGUGUGCGUAUGAUUAGAUAGUUGGCGAGGUAACGGCUCACCAAGUCUACGAUCAUUAGCUGAUGUGAGAGCAUGAUCAGCCACACGGGCACUGAGACACGGGCCCGACUCCUACGGGAGGCAGCAGUAAGGAAUAUUGGUCAAUGGACGCAAGUCUGAACCAGCUAUGCCGCGUGAAGGAUUAAGGUCCUCUGGAUUGUAAACUUCUUUUAUCUGGGACGAAAAAAGGUCUUUCUAGAUCACUUGACGGUACCAGAUGAAUAAGCACCGGCUAACUCCGUGCCAGCAGCCGCGGUAAUACGGAGGGUGCAAGCGUUAUCCGGAUUCACUGGGUUUAAAGGGUGCGUAGGCGGGCAGGUAAGUCAGUGGUGAAAUCCUGGAGCUCAACUCCAGAACUGCCAUUGAUACUAUCUGUCUUGAAUAUUGUGGAGGUAAGCGGAAUAUGUCAUGUAGCGGUGAAAUGCUUAGAUAUGACAUAGAACACCCAUUGCGAAGGCAGCUUACUACGCAUAUAUUGACGCUGAGGCACGAAAGCGUGGGGAUCAAACAGGAUUAGAUACCCCGGUAGUCCACGCCCUAAACGAUGGAUACUCGACAUACGCGAUACACUGUGUGUGUCUGAGCGAAAGCAUUAAGUAUCCCACCUGGGAAGUACGUUCGCAAGAAUGAAACUCAAAGGAAUUGGCGGGGGUCCGCACA
rnacentral:rRNA from 1 species